UACGUAGGGUGCGAGCGUUGUCCGGAAUUAUUGGGCGUAAAGAGCUCGUAGGCGGUGUGUCACGUCGGCCGUGAAAACCUGCAGCUUAACUGUGGGCGUGCGGUCGAUACGGGCAUCACUGGAGUUCGGCAGGGGAGACUGGAAUUCCUGGUGUAGCGGUGAAAUGCGCAGAUAUCAGGAGGAACACCAAUAGCGAAGGCAGCUCGCUGGGACGGUACUGACGCUAAGGCGCGAAAGCGUGGGGAGCGAACAGG
rnacentral:rRNA from 1 species